AUUGAACGCUGGCGGCAGGCCUAACACAUGCAAGUCGAGCGGAUGAAGGGAGCUUGCUCCUGGAUUCAGCGGCGGACGGGUGAGUAAUGCCUAGGAAUCUGCCUGGUAGUGGGGGAUAACGUCCGGAAACGGGCGCUAAUACCGCAUACGUCCUGAGGGAGAAAGUGGGGGAUCUUCGGACCUCACGCUAUCAGAUGAGCCUAGGUCGGAUUAGCUAGUUGGUGGGGUAAAGGCCUACCAAGGCGACGAUCCGUAACUGGUCUGAGAGGAUGAUCAGUCACACUGGAACUGGGACACGGUCCAGACUCCUACGGGAGGCAGCAGUGGGGAAUAUUGGACAAUGGGCGAAAGCCUGAUCCAGCCAUGCCGCGUGUGUGAAGAAGGUCUUCGGAUUGUAAAGCACUUUAAGUUGGGAGGAAGAGCAGUAAGUUAAUACCUUGCUGUUUUGACGUUACCAACAGAAUAAGCACCGGCUAACUUCGUG
rnacentral:rRNA from 1 species